UUAAGUAUAAAAAUUUGGAAAGAUAAUAUGUUUUAAGGCAUAUGUAGAGUAAAGUGACACAUUCCCUUCAUCCAGAAAAGUCACAUCAAAUUCAUGAGAAAGCAAGAUUGAGUUGUCAUUAUUCCAUAGUGCCUCUCCCUGUUCAUUUAUUACUUUACUCAUCAGCACAUCCUGGUAAAAGCCUAAAGGAAAAGCUCUGAUGUGUAGCAUUUGCCGAUUACUGAGGUGUAAAUACUCCUACCAUGGCCAGUUUCAAGGCCACUGAACACUGAAUUGCAAAGAGAUGCCAAUAAUCAGCUCUUGUUAGAUGGCAAGGGCUGGCUUGAGCAUUCAACUGCCAUAACCAGGAGAGGAAGGAAUGUUAGGGAAGUUCAACUGCUUGGAAUGUUCAUGUUAUAAAGGAUGAGAGGGGUGGCAGGGGCCAAGGCCAGUAAGACAGGCAGAAGUCAAAACAUGAAAAGCCUUGGAUGUCUAUUCAAGAGAUUCAGUGACCAUAGGAUUUGACAGAUACUCAGGUAAGAGAUGAUAGUGGGUCUCAUCAUUGUAGUGACCAUAGUAUUCUGAAGGAAUCCAGGGAAAGAUGAUGGUGUCCGUAACCAUGGCAGUGCCCAUGGGCUUUCAUAGAUAUAGAGUGUAAAGGUGACAGAGACUCUAGCCAUGGUAAUGUCCAUGGGAUUUUGUAAAUAUCCAGGCAAGAAAUGAAGAUGUUCCUACCUAGGCAGUAAAUAUAGAAUAUUGAAAUUAUACAGAUAAGAAAUGAUGAUCAAGCUAACCAUGGGAGUGACCAUGGUAUUUUGUAGAUAUCCAGUUAAGGGAUGAUGGUGGUGGUAACUAGAGUACUGAAAUUGGGAUUUGUCAGAUAGGUAGGUAGAAGCUGAUGAUGCCCCUUAUCACAUUACUAAACAUGGCAUUUUGGGGUAUUCCGGGUAUGAUAGUGAACCUAACCACAAAAGCAACUUGAGAUUUUUCAGGGUUCUAGUUAAGAGAUGAUGGUGUCCUUAACCAUGAAAGUGAUGAUGGGAUUUGGCAGGUUAGUAGUUAAGAGAUGAUGGUGAUCCUAACCACACUGGCGAGCAAGGGAGUUUGCAAGUAUCCAGGUAAGAGAUGUUGGUGUCAAAAAUGUGGUGACCAUGGGAUUUUGAAGGUAUCCAGGUAGAAAUGAUGUGUAACUAACAAUGGUAGUACCAAGAUAUUUUAUAGUUACCCAAGUUAGAGAUGAUUGUCCCUAACAAUGUCGUUUAUCUGGAUAAUUUGUAGGUCUCCAUGUAAGACACUUUUUUUUUUUAAAUCUAGUAGAGACCACAGUCUUCUGUAGAUAUCCAGGUGAAGAUGAUGUGUCACAAACCACUGUGGUGACCAAGGUAUUUUGCAAGUAUUUCAUCAAUAACUGAUGGCAAAUCUAAAAUGAAUAUGAGACUUUGAAGGUAUUGUAGGAGAGGAAAAAUAAUUUUCCCUCUACUCUCCUAGGUUCUUGGCUGAGACCCUCCUGUAAUAAAAGACAGAUGAACAAGAGAAAAACAAACAAUGUUAAUUACAUAUGCAAAUAUGCACAUAUGAGAGCCUCACAAAUAUAUGAGACUCAAUAAGGCAGCCAGGCAACUAAGACUGAUACACAAUCCUCAACUAAGGAGAGGGACAGGGGUCUGGGGCUUGAAAGGGGAGGAAGGAAUUUCACAGGAAGGUAAGAAGAGGAAAUGUAUGGUAAACAGAGUUUGCUCCGUCAUGCCGAAGUCUCUCAGGUGAAAAAGCCAUCUCUGGUAACAGCCCUAUUCCUGGUACAGGCCACCUCUUUAAUGUAAAUUUCCCUUAUAAAAGGGUCACUUCUACUCUGUUUCCAGAGCUUCUCCUGUGUCUGCAGUUUCUCAAAAUAAUCCUUAUGCCAGAGGCAUGUUUUGGCAUGGCAUAUUCUGCUACCCUUCAGUAUCCCUUAAGUAAUGAUGGUGAAAUCCCACGGUAAUGACUAUGGGAUAUUCAGGUGUCCUGGUAAGAGAUGAUGUGUCUCUAAUUAUGGUUGUAACCUUUUUUUUUUUUUUUUGCAGGUUUCAGUAAAGAAAUGAAGGUGAAAUUAGCCAUGGUAGUAACCAUGGGAUUUGGUAGGUAACAAGGAAAGAAAGAAUGUGGGCUUUAACCAAGUGAACAUCAUGGUAUUUUGGAAUUGUCCAGAUAAGUUAUCGUGGUGUCAUUCACCACAGUACAGACAAUGCGAUUUUGCAGGUUCCAGUCAACAGAUGAUGGUAAACCUAAUGUUGGGAGUAAAUGUAGGAAUUUGCUAAUAUCCACGUAAGAGAUGAUAUGAGCGUGAAACAUGUCAGAGACCAUAUGAUUUUCAGAUAUCUAGAAAAUGAUGAUACUGUCCUAAACUCUUAUCAUAACCUGUAUUUUUGCGGGUAUUCAGGUAAGAAAUGAAUGUCCCUAACAAAAGUAAUAAUCAUCAGAUUUUACUGUUUUCUGAUUCAGAGAUGAUUUGUCUUAAAACUUAAUAGUGACAAAGAUAUUUGCAGGUGUCUGGUAAUAUAUCAUAGAGUCCUCACUACAGUAGUGACUGGAGGAUUUUUGCAGGUGUCCAGUGAACAGAUGAUCGUGUCUGGAACUACAGUGUUGACCUUAGAGUUCUCCAAGUAUGCAGUUGGAGUUACUGGUUGCCCUAAGGAAAUGGACAGAUGGAAUUAGCAGGGCUCCAGAUGGAAGAACAUGUAUCCCUAACCAGGGUUGCCACCAGGUGUUUUUUCAGGUCCCAGUCAAGAGAUGGUGGUGUUUCUAACUGCAGUGUUGACCUUACAACUAAAGGAUCCAGGCUCCGAUCAAGAGAUACAUGUAAAGAUCAUGGAAUCCAGUUAAGUGGCGAUGUGGACCUUAAACAUGGUACAAACCGUCUGAUCUUGAGAAAUCUAGGUCAGUGAUGAUAAUUGUGUUGGUACUGUUUUUGCAGGUAUUCAGGUAAAAAAUUAUACUGGGCCUACAAAUACUAGUAACUAUGAGAUCUAGUUUAACCACUUUUUAAGUUUAGAGAUAAUGUAUACUUAACCUUAGGAAUGAAUGAGGGAUUUGCAGGUAACCAGUAAGUGAGCAUAACUUUCUAACCACGGUAUUGACAAUGAGAUUUUUACAGGUACACAGUUAAGAGAUGAUGGUGUCUGUAACAACAGUGUUAACCUUGAAGUUCUGCCAGUGUCCAGGUGGCAUUGAUGGGCCCAUAAAGAUGGAAGUGACAAAAGUUAUUUGCCAGUGUCCUGGUAGGAAAAGUUGUGUCCGUAAAUACAUCUGUCGCAAUGUUUUUUUUCAGGUUCCAGUCAAGGGAUCACAGUGACCCUAACAAUAGUGGUUAACAGGACUUUGCUGAUAUCCACUAAGUGGUUAUGUGAGUCUUACCACACUGCAGACCUUCUGACCUUCGGAAAUCUAGGGAAAUGAUGAUGGUAUCCCUAACAUUUAUGUUGUUAUGAUUUUUUGCAUGUAUUCAGGUAGGAAGUAAUAGUAUCCCAAACAAUGCUAAUAAGCAUUGCUCCUCAUUGUUUAAAAGUUGAAGUAUAAUGUGUGUUUAACCUUAGUAAUGACUUAGGGAUAUACAUAUAUCCAGGUAAGGUAUCACAGUAUUGACCACGACACUUUUUGAGGUGCUCAGUCAAGAGAUGAUAGUGUCUCUAAGAAUGUUGUUGACCUUGAAGUUCUGCUUCAAAGUUCUGAACCAAGAAGUGCUGAUGGCUCCCUAAUGAUGGAAGUGACCAAGAUUAUUUGCCAGUAUUCUGAUAGAACAAGUUGUGUCCUUAAACACACUUACCACACAUGUUUUUUUAGCUUCCAUUCUAGAGAUCAUGGGGGAUGUAAAAGUGUUCACUAAUGGAGCUUUCCAGGUAUCCAGAUAUUCCACUGAGGUCUUUGCUAGUACACAGGUAUGGGAUGACGUUAUAUUUACUUGUUAAAGACCUUCUUAUUUUCAGAAUCUAGAUAAUUAAUGAUGUUGAGAUUCUUAUAUUAAAGUUGUUUUUGGCAAAUAUAUAGUUAAAAAUUAAUUUGUCCCUAACAGUACUAGUAAGCAUGAGAUUUUACUAUAUUCUUAUUUAGGGGUGAUAUGUAUUUAACACUCUUAGUGAUAGAUGAAUAUUCAGAUAUCCAGUUAAUUUUUCAUAUUCAACUCUGUGUUAUUGACCAUGGAAUUUUUUUUAGGUAUCCCUCUGUGAGUGGAAGAUGUCCCUUACUAGGAUUUGAGCUAGGAAUUCUGUAAGAUCCAUGUGUCACUGAUGGGUCCCUAAGUGAUAAAAUUGACCAGUAGAAUUUGCAGAUGCCCAGGUAGAAUAAUAUGUGUAUUAAACACAUUUUUAACAGUGUUUUUUUCAGGUUCAAAUCAUGGAGGGUUUAUCAAUGAUAGGUAACAUAGGACAAUUUUGGUAUCCAGGUAAGUGUUGAUGUGGGCCUAAACCACAGCACAGACCAUCUGAUCUUCAGAAAGCUAGGUAAGUGAUGACAGUGUCCCUAACACUUGUUACCAUGUUUUUAUCACAGGUAUUUAGGUAAGAAAUGAUAGCGUCCUUACCAAUUCUAGAACCCAUGAGUUUUCACUUUUUAUAUUUUAGAGAAAAUUUGUUUUACCCUCAAGUGUUGAGAGAAUGCAGGUAUACAGGUAAUUGUGGUAUUGCUCACUACAGUAGUAACCAUGGGAUUUUUGCAGAUGUAUAGUUAGGAAAUGAUGGUCUUACCUAAAAAUGAUGUUGACCUUGGAAUGCUGCUAGUAUCUAGGUAGAGUUGAUGUGUCCCAUAAUGAUGGAAGUAAAGAAGAUUAUGUACAGGUAUCCUGGUAAAAUAAAUUGUGUCCUUUGACAUAUAUUUCAUAAUAUGUUUCUUGGGUUGCUGUCAAGACAUCAUGAUGAACCUAACAAUGGUCGUUAUUGGGGACAUUACUGGUGUCCAUGUAAGUAUGGAUGUGGGCCUAAACCACAGCACCGGCCAUCUGAUCCUCAGAAAUGUAGGUAAGUGAUGAUGGUGUCCCUGUCACAUUUUGUGACCAUGUAUUUGUUGCAGCUAUUCAGUUCAGAAUGAUAUAGUUCUUACCAAUUCUAAUAACUAUGAAUUUUCAUUUUUUAUAUUUUAGAGAAAGUUUAUGUUCAACCCUGUGAAUGUUAAGGGAUCUCACAUAUCCAGGUUCCUGUUAAGAAAUCACAAUGAACUUAACAAUGGUCAUUAACAGGGGACAUUGCAGGUAUCCAGGUAAGUGAUGGUGUGCACUUUACCACAUCACAGACCAUCUGAUCUUAGAUCUGAUAUGUCUAGGUAAAUGAUGUUGGUUUGCCUAAACUUGUUGCGCCAUGUGAUUUUUCUUGCAGGUAUUCAGGUAAGAAAUGAUAGUGGUCUACCAAUUCUAGUCACCAUAUUAUCUUACUGUUUUAUAUUUUAGAAAAAAAAAAUAUGUUUAAUCCUGUGAAUGUUGAGCAAUUUUCAGGUAUCCAGGUUAUUAUCAUGGAGUUCCAUGGCAGAGUAGUAAUCAUGGGAUUUUUGCAGGUAUGCUGUCAAGAGAUGAUGGUGUCUCUAACGAUGGUGUAGACCUUGGAGUACUGCAAGUAUACACGUAGAGUUGAUGGGUCCUGUAGGGAUGGAAGUGAAAAAGUUUAUUUGCAGGUGUCCAGGUGGAAAAGAUAUGUCCAUAGACACAUUUGUCACAUUGUGUUUUUCAGGUUCCAGUCAAGAGAGCAUGGUGACUUUACAGUGAUCAUUAAUGGGGACUUUGCUUGUAUCGAGGUUCUAGUCAAGAGAUCACAAUAAACCUAACAGUAGUUGUUAAUUGGACAUUGCUAGUAACCAGGUAAGUGAUAAAGUGGGUCUUACUACAAUGCACACUAUCUGAGCUCCAUAAUCUAGGUAGUUGAGGAUGCUGUCCCUAACAUAGUGUUGUAUUUUUUUUUGCCGGUUUUCUGUUAAAGCCUUUGCUAGUACUCAUGUAUGAGAUGAUGUGAUAUCAACUCAUUAAAGACUUCCUUAUUUUCAGGUAUCUAGGUAAUUAAUGAUGUCAUCAAGAGCCUUAUAUUAACUUUGUUUUUGACAUGUAUGCAAUUACAGAAUUAAUUUGUCCUUAACAAUACUAGUAAGCGUGAGAUUUGACUGUAUUCUUAUUUAAAGAUUGUGUCUCUAACACUCAAAGUGAUAAUGAAUAUGCAGAUGUCCAGGUAAUUCAUCAUAUUGACCGUGCAAAUUUGCAGGUGUCCCUUCAAGAGAGAAGCAGAUAUCUCUUACACUGGUUUGAUUUCAGAGUUCUGCAAGUAUCCAGGUAGUGUUGAUGGGUCCUGAAAUGAUACAAGUGACCGUGACCAAAGGAAUUUGCAGGUGUCCAGGUUGAAUAAGACAUGUACCAAACGCAGUUUCCACAAUGCCUUUUCUGGUUCAUGUCAUGAUAUCACAGUGAAACUAGCAAUGGUAGUUAACAUAGGUCAUUGCUGAUAUUGAGGUCAGUGAUGAUAUGGGCCUGAACCACAGCACAGACCAUCUGAUCUUCCUAUAUAUAUAGCUAAGUGCUGAUAGUGUCCGUAACACUUCUUGUUACCAGGAUUUUUUCACAUGUGUUCAGGUAAGAAGUGAAAGUCCUUACCAAUUCAAGAAACCAUGAGUUUUUAUUUUUAUGUUUUUUAGUAAAUUUAUGUCAAACCCUGUGAGUUUUGAGGAGUUACACAUAUUCAAGUUAUUACCAUGGUGUUCUUCAAUACAGUAGUAACCAUGGAUUUUUGCAGAUGUACAGUCACAAAAUCAUUCUUACCUGACAACUGUAUUGACCUUGGAAUGAUGCAAGUAUAUAGCUAUGACUGAUGUUUCCCAUAAUGACAAAGUGACCAAAGUUAUGUACACGUGCCCUGGUAAAAGAAGUUGUGUCCUUAAACACAUUGUGGCUUCUUUUUUUCAGGUACCAAUCAAGAAAUCAGGCUGAACUUAACAUGGCAGUUCACUGGACCAUGAUAAUAACCAAGUAAGUGAUAAUGGGGUCUUACCACAAUACAGAUCACCUGACCUUCAGAUAUGUAGGUCAGUGGUGAUGGUGUCCCUAACACUUUUUUUGCAAGUAUCCAGUUAAGAUCUUUGCUAGGAUAAAGUAUGAGAUGUUGUGGCAUUCUCAAACAGACCUCCUUAUUUUUGUAUAUCUAGGUAAAAUGAUUUUAUCAGGUCUCUUAUAUUAACCUUAUUUUUGGCACCUGUGCAGUUAAGAAAUUAACUUGUUCCUCUCAAUACUAGUAGCAUGAGAUUUUAAUUUAUUCUUGUUUAGAGAUAAUGUAUUUAACAUUCACAGUGCUAGAGGAAUAGGCAGGUACCUAGGUAAUUUGUCAUAUUCUCCAUCACCCUGUUAUUCAUGUGGGAUUUGUGCAGGUAUCCCUUCAAAGAGGAAGGUGUCUCUUACUAGGAUUUGAUCUUGGAAUUCUUCAAGUAUCCAGGUAGUAUUGAUGGGUCUUAAAAUAACACAAGUGAUCAAAGGAUUUUACAGAUGUCCAAGUAGAAUAAGAUAUGUAUGUAACACGUUUUUCACAAUAUGUUUUUAGAUUCCUGUCAAUAGAUCAGAGUAAGCCUGUAAUUGGUACUUAACGUGAGAUAUCACUGGUAUCAAGGUAUGUGAUAAUGCUUUACUACAGUGCUGACCAUCUGAUCUUCAGACAGGUAAGUAAUGAUGGUGUCAAUAAUACUUACCAUGAUUUUAUUGCAUGCUAUUCAGGUAUGAAAAUGUAGAGUCUUUACCAUUCUAGAAAUGAUGAGUUUCUGUUUUUUAUAUUUUAGAGAAAAUUUAUAUUUAACCCUAAGUGUGUUGAGGGAUUGCAUGCAUUCAGAUAAUAAUCAUGGUGUUCCACGACAGAGGUAACCAUGGGAAUUUCGCAGGUGUACAGUCACCAAAUGAUGGUCUUAUCUGACAAUGGUAUUAAACUUGGAGUACUGCAAAUGUCCAUGUGAGAUAGAAGUGACCAAGGUUGUUACAGGUAUCCUGGUAGAAGUAGUUGUGUCCUUAAACACAUUUGUUACAUUUUUUUCAGGUUCUAGUCAAGACAUCACAGUUAAGCUCUCAAUGGACAUUAACAGGACUUUGCUCUUGAUCAGGUAAGUGGUAAUGUGGGUCUUACACAAUACAGACCACAUGACCUUCAAAUAUCUAGAUAAGUAAGCCUGGUGUCCCUAACACAUGUGUUACCUUUUUUUUGAAGGUAUCUCGUUAAGGUCUUUCCUAGUAUACAAGUAUGGGAUUAUGUGACAUUAAUUCAUUGGAGAUCUUCUUUAUUUCAGACAUCUAGGUAAUUAAUGAGAUUGUAGAAACUCUUAUAUUAACCUCUUUUUUGACACGUAUGCUAUUAAGAAAUUAAUUUGUCCAUAAGAAUACUAGUAAGCAUGAGAUUUUAUUGUAUUCUUGUUUAGAACUAAUGUGUGUAUAACAUUGGUAGCAAUGGAGAGAUAUGCAGGCAUCCAGGUAAGUUAUCAUAUUCUCUAUCACGCCUUAUUGAUCAUGGGACUUUUGCAGGCAUCCCUCCAAGAGAGGAAGGUGUCUUUUUCAAAGGUUUGACCUUGGACUUCUGCAAGUAUCCAGGUGAAAUUGAUGGGUCCUGAAAUUAUACAAGUGACCAAGGAUAUUUGCAGGUGUUCAGUGAGAAUAAGAUGUUAUCCUACUGUUUUAUAUUUUACAGAAAAUUUAUGUUUAACCAUGUGGAUGUGAGUAAUUUACACUUAUCCAGGUAAUUAUCCUGGAGUUCUGCUUCACAGUAGUAACCAUGAGAUUUUAUAGAUGGGUAGUCAAGAGAUGGUGGUGGCUCUAAAUAUGGCUAGACCUUGAAUACUGCAAAAAUCAAAUUAGGUUGAUGGGUCCUGCAAUAAUGGCAAUGAAGGAGGUUAUGUGCAGGUGUCCAUGUGGAAAAUGUGUGUCCAUAUAUAUACAUUUGUCAACAAUGUAUUUUUCAAGGUUCAAUCAGGAGAUCAUGGUGACUUCACAAUGAUUAUUAACAGGGACUUUGCUAUAUCCAGGUAAGUGAUGAUGUGGCCUUAAGUACCCUUCAGAUAGCUGAUCUUCAGAUUUCUUGGUAAGUGAGGAUGGUGUGUCUUACAUUUGUUUACCUUUUAUUUUUUUAAGAUACUCAGGUAAGAAAUGAUGUUGUCUCGACCAAAUCUAGUUAACAUUAGCCCUUACAGCAUAAUAAUUUAAAUAUAAUGUGUUUAACCUAAUUAGUGAUGGAGGUAUAUGCAGGUAAAGUAUCCUACUUUUCUACACCACAGUAUUGAUCGGUAGAUUUUUACAUGAGUCCUGUCAAGAGGUGAUGAUGUCUCUAAGAACAUAGUUGAUCUUGAAGUACAGCCAGGAUGCAGGUACUGUUAAAAGUUCCUUCAACGAUGGAAGUGACCAAGAUUACUUGCAGGUUUCAUCAUAGAACAAGUUGUUUCCUUAAACAUAUUUUUUGCAUGUGUUUUUUUCAGAUUCCACUCAAGAGAUCACGGUGAAUCUAACAAUGGUCAUUAUUGGGACAUGACUGGUAACCAGGUAAAUGAUACAGUGGGUCUUACCACAGUGCAUGACCAUCUGAUCUUCAAUAUCUAGGUAAGUGAAGAUGGUGCCUCCAACACAUGGGUUAUGUUUUUUGCAGGUAUCCCAUUAAAGUCUUUGCUAGUAAAGAGAUAGGAUAUGGUAGGACAUUAACUCAUUAAAGACUUUUGUUGUUUUCAGAUAUCUAGGUAAUUAAUGAUGUUCCCAAGACUCUUAUAAUAACAUUGUUUUUGGCAUGUAUACAAUUAAGAAAUUAAUUUGUCCUGAACAAUACUAGUAAGCAUGAGAAUUAACUGUAUUCUUAACUAUAGGGAUAGAGAUGUAUAGAGAUAAUGUGUUUUUUAAUACUCAUAGUGAUAACAGAUAUGCAAGUAUCCAGGGAAUUUAUCAUAUUGCCCAUCACAAUGAUAUUGACCAUGGAAUCUUUGCAGGUCUCCCUUUAAGAAAGGAAGGUAUCUCUUACUAGAAUUUUACCUCAGAGUUCUGAAGUUAUCCAGGCUCAUGUCAAGACAUCACUGUGAGCCUAUCAGUUGUAGUUAACGAGACAGAUAACUGAUAUUGGGUAAGCGAUGGUGUGGGCCUAAAGCAGAGCACAGACUAUCUGAUCUUAUAUGUAGGUAAGUGAUGAUGAUCUCCCUAACAUUUCUCGUUAGCAUGAUUUUGUUGCCGAUAUUCAGGUAAGAAAUGAGAGAGUCCUUACCAAUUCUAGUAAACAUGAGUUUACACUUUUUAUAUUUUAGAGAAAACUUAUGUUUAACCCUUUGACUGUUGAGGGGUAGAUCAUCCUGGUAAUUGUUGUGAAGUUUCUCACCACAGUAGUAAUGAUAGGAUCUUUGCAGGUGUCCAGUCAAGGAAUGAUGAUAGUCUCUCAUGACGAUGAUGUUAACCUUGAUUUAAUGCAAGUAUCUAAGUAGAGAUGAUGUGUACAGUGAUAAUGGAAGUGAAUAGGGUGAUAUGUAGGUGUCCUGGUAGAACAAGUUGUAUCCUUGAAUUCAUUUGUCCCAUGUGUUUUUUCAAGUUCCUGUGAAGAGAACACAGUAAACCUAACAGUCAUCAUUAAUGGAAACCUUGCUCUUAACAAGGUAAGUGAAAAGUGGUCCUACCACAAUGCAGACUAUCUGAACUUCAAUAUCUAGAUAAGUGAGGCUGGUGUCCCUAACGCUUGUGUUUACAUAUUCUUUUUGGAGGUGUCCUGUUAAGGUCUUUGCUAGUACACAGGUAUGAGAUGAUGUGACAUUAUCUCAUUAGAGAUUUUCUUAUAUUCAGGUAUCUACAUAAUUAAUGUUUUCGAGUCUCUUAUAUUUACCUUGCUUUUGGCAUGUAUGCAGUUCAUUAAUUAACACACCGCUAAUAAUACUAGUAAGAAAGAGAUCUUUUUGCUUUUUGUUUUGAAACACUGUGUAUUUAACACUUUUACUGAUAGAGCGAUUGCGGGUAUCCAUGUAAUUUAUCAUCUAGUCCACCACAGCAUUAUUGACAAUGGGAUUUUUGCAGGUAUUCGUUCAAGAGAAGAAGCUGUCUCUUCCUAGGAUUUGAUCUCACAGUUCUGCAAGUAUCCAGGUACUGUUGAUGGGAUCCAAAUGAUACAGUUGACCAAGGGAAUCUGCAAGUGUACAUGUGGAGUAAGAUGUGCAUCAAACACAUUCUCCACAGUUGUGUUUUCAGGUUCAUGUCAGGACAUUACGGUGAGCCUACCAAUGGUUGUUAACAUGGACGUUGCUAGUAGGGAGAUAAAUGAGGAUGUGGGCCUCAACCACAGCACAGACCAUCUGAUCUUCAGAUAUUUGGUAAGAGAUGAUGGUGUCCCAGAUACUUCUAACAUAAUUAUUUUUGCAAGCAUUCAGGUAGGAAAUGAUAGAGUCUUACCAAGUCUAGAAAACAUGAGUUUUUACCUUUUAUAUUUUAGGAAAAGUUUAUGUUCAACAUUGAGAGUGUUAACGUAUAUCACAUAUCCAGGUAUUUAUCAUGAUGAUCCCCAACAAAGUACUACUCAUUUAUUUUUACAGGUGUUCAAUCAGGAAAUGCUGGUGUUAUCUGACAUUGCUCUUGACCUUGGAUUACUAUAAGUAUCCAGGUAAAGUUGAUGUGUCCCAUAGUGAUGAAAAAGUUGUGUUCUUUAAAACAGAUUUCAUAAUGUCUUUUCCACGUUCCUGUCAGAAGAUCACAAUCAAUCUAGCGUGGAUGUCAACAGGGAAUGUUGCUAGUAUGCAGGUAAGUGAGGGUACGGACCUAAACCAUAGCACAGGCCAUCUGUUCUCCCGAUAGCUAGGUAAGUGAUGAUAGUGUCUCUAAGAGUUCUUCUAACCUUGAUAUCUUUGCCGAUAUUAAGGUAGAGUCCUCAGCAUUUCUAAAAACCAUUAGUUUUCACAUUUUAUAAGUUGGAGAAAAUUUUUGUUUAACCCUGUGAGUGUUGAGGGAUUGCCAUAUCCACUUAAUUAUCAUUAUGUCCUCAACAACAGCAGUAACUGUGGAAAUUUUUCUCUUAUUUAGCAAUAAUUUUGACCUUAGAGUACUGCAAGUAUUCAGGUAGAGUUGAUGUUCUCAUAGUGAUGAAGUGACCAAGGUUACUUGCAGAUGUCCUGGUAGAACAAGUUACAUCCCUUUGCACAUAUACCAUAAUCUGUUUUUCAGUUUCUUUUUAAGAGCUCUCAAUGAAACUGAUGGUGGUAAUUGAUGGGGGACAUUUCUGGUAUCCGGGUAGGUGAUGGUAUGCACCUUAACCACAUCAGACUCUCUGAGCUUCAUGUGUCUAGUUAAGUGAUGUUGAUUGCUUGAACUUGUUUUAUCACGUGUUUUUCUUUUUCAGGUGUUCAAGUAAGAAAUCAUAGUGUUUUACCAAUUGUUGCAGUCAAUGUUACCUUACUGUUUUCUCUUUUAUAAAAACUUAGCCAUGUGAGUAUUGAGGGAAUGUAGGUAUCCAGGUAAUAAUCAUGGAGUUGUAUGACACGAUAGUAAUCCUAAUGUUUUUGCAGGUGAGCAGGGAAGAGACACUGGUGUGUCUAACUUUGGUGUAGACCAUGGAGUACUGCAAGAAUCCAGAUAGAGUUGAUGAUGGGUCUUGCAGUGGUGGCAGUGAACAAGAUUAUUUCCAGUGUCCUCAUAGAAAAGAUGUGUCCAUAGACACGUGUCACAAUGUGCUUUUUAAGUUCCUGUCAAGAAGUCAUGGUGAAUCUCAAAAUGAUCAGUAGUGGGACUUUGCUUGUAUCCAGUGAAGUGAUGAUAUAGGCCUUAAGUAUGAAAACAGUCUGAUUUUCAGGUAUAUAGGUAAGUGUGGAUGGUAUUCCUAACUAUUCUGUUACCAGGGAUUUUUGCAGAUAUUCAGUUAAGAAAUAUCUUCCCAACAAGUGCUAAUAAGUAUUAGCCCUCGUAUUUUUAGAAUUUAGAUAUAAUAUGUGUUUAACCCUAGUAGUGACAGACGGAUAUGCAGGUCCGGGUAACUUAUUUUGGUUUCAUACCACAGUACUAACCAUGAGAUUUCUACAGGUACUCAGAGAAGAGAUGAUAGUGUGUCUCACUAACAAUGGCGUAGACCUUAAAGUUCUGUGAAGAGGCAAGUAUUGUUUAUACUUCUCCUAACGGUGGAAGCGACCAAGAUUAUUUGCAAAUGUAUAAAUUUUUUUUACAGAUAAACAAGUUUUGUCUUUCAACACACUUGUAGAAUGUAUUUCUCAAGGUUCUAGCAGUCAUGACAUCACAGUGAACCAAACAGUAGUUGCCAAUGGCACCUUGCUAGUAAGCAGGUAUGUGAUUAAGUGGGUCUUACCACAAUACAGAGUAUCUGAUCUUCAAAUAUCUAGGUAAGUGCGGAUGGUGUCUCUAACACAGCAAACCCUGCUUUCUUAUAAACCUAUAAGAAACCUUUCUUGUAAACCUUUCCCAUUAAGUUAUUUGCUCAUGUACAGAUAUGAGAGAUUAAUUCACUAGACACCUUCUUUUCAGAAAUGUAGGUAAUUAAUGAUGUUUUCUAGACUUUUAUAUUACACUUUGUUUAGCAUACAGAAAUUAAUUUGUCUCUAACAGUAUUAGUAAGCAUGAGAUACUACUGUAUUCUUGUUCUGAGAUACUUUUUGUUAAUCUCAUUAUAAUGGACAGAACACAUCUCCAGGUGAUGUCUCGUAUUGUCGAUUACCACAAGAUAGGAUGCGAAAUUUUUGAAGAUCUCUCUGCAAGAGAAGUAGGUAUCUUUAGAUAGGACUUAGUCUUAGACUUCUGCAGGUAUCCAGGAAAUAGUGAUGAGUCUCAAAAAGGCGUAGUUGAGCAAGGAAAUUUGCAGUUUCCCUUGUAGAGUGAUACGCAUAGGAAGCACGUUUUUCACAAUGUGUUUUUCAGGUUCAUGUGAAGACAUCACGGGGAGUCUAUCUAAGGUAGUUAAUGAGGCACAUAGCAGGUAUUGAGGGAAGUGAGGAUGUGGGCCUAAAGCACAACACAGACCAUUUGAUCUUCAUAUCUACAGGUAAGAGACGCCGGUAUCACGAACAGUCUUGUAACCAUGAUUAUGUUGCAGGUAUUCAGGUGAGUAAGGAUACAGUCCUUACCGAUGCUACUCACCAUAACUUUACAUUUUUACAUUUUAGAGAUAACUUCAGUUUAACGCUGUGAGUGUUAUGGGUAGAUGAUGUUCUGGUAAUUGUCAUGGAGAUUCCACUCCAGUAAUAGCCAUAGAAUUUCUACAAGGGUUCACUAAAAAAUGAUGGCCUCUGCUGAUGAAGAUACUGACUCUAAUUACUGCAAAUAUCCAAAUAGGCUGAUGACUUGCAUAAUAAGUCAACAAGGUUAGGCUUAGGUGUCCUGAGAAGACAAGUCAUGUCCUAAAACAUAUAUGUCGAGCAUCUUUCUUCAUUUUCCUGUCAUGAAAACACAGUGAACUUAAGAGUUGUCAUUGACGGAGCCUCUCUUUUAACGAGGUGAGUGAUAAAGAGGGAUCUACUGCAAUACAGGCCACCUGAUAUCCACUAGGAAGAUAAGUGAGAAUAGAGGACCUCACGCUUCUAUUGAUGUGUUUGUUUCAGGUGUCCUGUAAAAGCCUUUGCUACUAGACAGGCGUGACAUGAUAUGACAUUGAGUCACUGGAAACAUCCUUGUGUUCAGGUAUUGCGUGAAGAAGCGAUUUCGUCCGCGACAGUGCUGGUACCCAGAGAGGACAUGACGUGUCUCUGACAGCGGCGUUGGCCUAGAAGUGCUGAAGGAUCCAGGU